rnacentral:rRNA from 1 species
CCUACGGGGGGCAGCAGUGGGGAAUAUUGGACAAUGGGGGCAACCCUGAUCCAGCCAUGCCGCGUGUGUGAAGAAGGCCCUCGGGUUGUAAAGCACUUUCAGUGAGGAAGAACGCCUGGUGGUUAAUACCCAUCAGGAAAGACAUCACUCACAGAAGAAGCACCGGCUAACUCCGUGCCAGCAGCCGCGGUAAUACGGAGGGUGCGAGCGUUAAUCGGAAUUACUGGGCGUAAAGCGCGCGUAGGUGGCUUGAUAAGCCGGUUGUGAAAGCCCCGGGCUCAACCUGGGAACGGCAUCCGGAACUGUCAAGCUAGAGUGCAGGAGAGGAAGGUAGAAUUCCCGGUGUAGCGGUGAAAUGCGUAGAGAUCGGGAGGAAUACCAGUGGCGAAGGCGGCCUCCUGGACUGACACUGACACUGAGGUGCGAAAGCGUGGGUAGCAAACAGGAUUAGAUACCCCGGUAGUC